CACGUAGGGCGCGAGCGUUGUCCGGAAUUAUUGGGCGUAAAGAGCUCGUAGGCGGCCUGUUGCGUCCGCUGUGAAAACCCGCAGCUCAACUGUGGGCUUGCAGCUGAUACGGGCAGGCUUGAGUUCGGUAGGGGAGACUGGAAUUCCUGGUGUAGCGGUGAAAUGCGCAGAUAUCAGGAGGAACACCGGUGGCGAAGGCGGUUCUCUGGGCCUGUACUGACGCUGAGGAGCGAAAGCGUGGGGGAGCGAACAGG
rnacentral:rRNA from 1 species